rnacentral:rRNA from 1 species
CAGUGGUGGGGUUGGAAAGUUUCGGCGGUUGGGGAUGGACUCGCGGCUUAUCAGCUUGUUGGUGGGGUAGUGGCUUACCAAGGCUUUGACGGGUAGCCGGCCUGAGAGGGUGACCGGCCACAUUGGGACUGAGAUACGGCCCAGACUCCUACGGGAGGCAGCAGUGGGGAAUAUUGCACAAUGGGUGGAAGCCUGAUGCAGCAACGCCGUGUGCGGGAUGACGGCCUUCGGGUUGUAAACCGCUUUCGCUCAUGACGAAGCUUCGUGUGACGGUAGUGGGUAAAGAAGCACCGGCUAACUACGUG